UGUAGCUGAAUGGUAGAGCAUUUGCCUGACAUGCACAAGACCCUGGGUUUAAUCCUCAGCA
rnacentral:tRNA from 1 species